AGUGAUCUGUUUAAUGCCGGUCAUAAAACGAUGAUUCAUUUAAGGAUACCACGUCAUAUAAAGCCAGAGACUGAAAAUAUAAUAACUCAUGUUUUAAGAGCACUAAAACAGAAAUACCCGGAUGUGAAUAAUAAAGGUACAAAACAGGCAUGGAAUAAUAAAAAGGUGAUGCGAAUUUUGAAGAAGAAGUUACAAUUGUAUUUGAGGAACGUAAAAAACCGAGGGAACUAGCAAAUAAACUUUUCUUUUAUUUAA